CAGGWGGAACGUGGCSGAAAGUUAAACACWKGCAAKNCGAACGWUGAAGCCCAGYUUGYUGGUGGAUUAKUGGCGAACGGGUGAGUAACACGUGAUAAACUGCCCUUAAAUCUGGGAUAAGCUGGGAAACURGGUCUAAUACCGGAUAGGAGCGCCCACCGCAUGGUGGGUGUUGGAAAGAUUUAUCGGUUUUGGAUGGACUCGCGGCCUAUCAGCUUGUUGGUGAGGUAAUGGCUCACCAAGGCGACGACGGGUAGCCGGCCUGAGAGGGUGACCGGCCACACUGGGACUGAGACACGGCCCAGACUCUACGGGAGGCAGCAGUGGGGAAUAUUGCACAAUGGGCGCAAGCCUGAUGCAGCGACGCCGCGUGAGGGAUGACGGCUCGGGUUGUAAACCUCUUUCAGUAGGGAAGAAGCGAAAGUGACGGUACCUGCAGAAGAAGCACCGGCUAACUACGUGCCAGCAGCCGCGGUAAUACGUAGGGUGCGAGCGUUAUCCGGAAUUAUUGGGCGUAAAGAGCUCGUAGGCGGUUUGUCGCGUCUGUCGUGAAAGUCCGGGCUUAACCCCGGAUCUGCGGUGGGUACGGGCAGACUAGAGUGCAGUAGGGGAGACUGGAAUUCCUGGUGUAGCGGUGGAAUGCGCAGACAGGAGGAACACCGAUGGCGAAGGCAGGUCUCUGGGCUGUAACUGACGCUGAGGAGCGAAAGCAUGGGGAGCGAACAGGAUUAGAUACCCUGGUAGUCCAUGCCGUAAACGUUGGGCACUAGGUGUGGGGACCAUUCCACGGUUUCCGCGCCGCACUAACGCAUUAAGUGCCCCG
rnacentral:rRNA from 1 species